rnacentral:piRNA from 1 species
UCCCUGAGAUAGUCCUGGCUCAUGCCCUGGC